UAAGGAAUAUUGGUCAAUGGACGCAAGUCUGAACCAGCCAUGCCGCGUGAAGGAUUAAGGCCCUCUGGGUUGUAAACUUCUUUUAUAGGGGAAGAAAUGUGACGGUUCUCCGUCACUUGACGGUACCCUGGGAAUAAGCACCGGCUAACUCCGUGCCAGCAGCCGCGGUAAUACGGAGGGUGCAAGCGUUAUCCGGAUUCACUGGGUUUAAAGGGUGCGUAGGUGGGCAGAUAAGUCAGUGGUGAAAUCUUCCGGCUUAACCGGGAAACUGCCGCUGAUACUAUUUGUCUUGAAUAUUGCGGAGGUAAGCGGAAUAUGUCAUGUAGCGGUCAAAUGCUUAGAUAUGACAUAAAACACCAAUUGCGAAGGCAGCUAACUACACAAUCAUUGACACUGAGGCACGAAAGCGUGGGUAGCGAACA
rnacentral:rRNA from 1 species